ACGACGGUGAAGUUGCACUGAGUAAGCCGCUCCUGUCCUUCACUCCUGAUCCUUGGACUCACACUUGCCAAUAAAGUACUCACAUGAGAUGAGGAACCCACACUGUCAUGUUGGCCAAGAGUGGCCCCAGAAAGCAGCCCUCAGGAUGGAAUUUUGGAACCGGACUCCUCACCAGUCAGAUGGCAACAACAACCCCAUUGCUAGUGAUAAGGGAAAUCUGGUGACCCCACAGCUGAGCCAUGCUCCAGAAAGUGUCUCCAACACCUGCUGAGUGACGCCCAACCAGGGAGAAGGCUGCUGGCCUUUGCAUCAUCGUCUCAGGUGCAAUGUUAGAGAACUGCCACUGAUUAUUUUGGCAAAUGCCCUGUUUUUAUAGCGCGAUCUCUGAGUCAGGUCAAAUAAAACCAAGACCUGAGAACGGAGCUUUCCAAAAGAGAUGUCAGACAAGUCACAUAAUGACAAUUGUCUGUGAAUGGGACUUUUUGAAGAGCUCCAAACCUAUUCUUCCCCUUCCAGUGGUUACUAAAUUGCUAAUUUUUGCAACAACCAUGGCUGUGAAACUGUUGUUUUUCAAGGCUACCUUGGAGUGGGGAGAGGGGAAUGGGGCUAGAGCAAGUUAAAACACCACAAAGCUCACUGUUCUUACUAAGAUUCAGCUGUUUUUAUUGAAUAGACACUUCUCUGAUUAUCACAAACCUUUCUUUGAUUAAUUUACAGAAUACCGAAAGAAGCUGAUUUUGACAAUUUUUGACAGUGUUCUCAUGCUUUUAUGAAGGAGUGGGUUUUCAGAGAUUCUUAGUCUUCCAUUCCAGAAGUGCUGCUAAUUCACUUACAUUAAAUGAAUUUAUUUUUAUAUAUAGAUAUUUCAGUCAUCUUUUUCACAUUAAUUACUUCUUUAUAUCUUCUUUACCUUUUUUUUGUAUCUUUAUUGGAGUAUAAUUGUUUUACAUUGUUGUGUUAGU